AUUGAACGCUGGCGGCAGGCUUAACACAUGCAAGUCGAGCGGGGGAAGGUAGCUUGCUACCGGACCUAGCGGCGGACGGGUGAGUAAUGCUUAGGAAUCUGCCUAUUAGUGGGGGACAACAUCUCGAAAGGGAUGCUAAUACCGCAUACGUCCUACGGGAGAAAGCAGGGGAUCUUCGGACCUUGCGCUAAUAGAUGAGCCUAAGUCGGAUUAGCUAGUUGGUGGGGUAAAGGCCUACCAAGGCGACGAUCUGUAGCGGGUCUGCGAGGAUGAUCCGACACACUGGGACUGAGACACGGCCCAGACGCCUACGGGAGGCAGCAGUGGGGAAUAUUGGACAAGGGGGGGAACCCUGAUCCAGCCAUGCCGCGUGUGUGAAGAAGGCCUUAUGGUUGUAAAGCACUUUAAGCGAGGAGGAGGCUACUUUAGUUAAUACCUAGAGAUAGUGGACGUUACUCGCAGAAUAAGCACCGGCUAACUCUGUGCCAGCAGCCGCAGUAA
rnacentral:rRNA from 1 species